rnacentral:rRNA from 1 species
GGAUCAAGGAAUCGGUCAUGCCUUGGUAUGUACUGGUUUUAUUGGUUCUCACCUUCUAAAGAACCAUAAUGUCAUUUAUUUGAUGUUAUGGGGAAUUAGGACUGUUACCUUGAAAAAAUUAGAGUGUUUAAAGCAAGCUUACGCUUGAAUACAUUAGCAUGGAAUAAUGAAAUAGGACAUCAGAUUCUAUUUUGUUGGUUUCUAGGAUCGAUGUAAUGAUUAAUAGGGAUAGUUGGGGGCAUUAGUAUUCAAUUGUUAGAGGUGAAAUUCUUGGAUUUAUUGAAGACUAACUACUGCGAAAGCAUUUGCCAAGGAUGUUUUCAUUAAUCAAGAACGAAAGUUAGGGGAUCGAAGACGAUCAGAUACCGUCGUAGUCUUAACCAUAAACUAUGCCGACUAGGGAUCGGAUGAUGUUAAUUUUAUAAUGACUCAUUCGGCACCUUACGGGAAACCAAAGUGUUUGGGUUCCGGGGGGAGUAUGGUCGCAAGGCUGAAACUUAAAGGAAUUGACGGAAGGGCACCACCAGGGGUGGAGCCUGCGGCUUAAUUUGACUCAACACGGGGAAACUCACCAGGUCCAGACAUAGUAAGGAUUGAUAGAUUGAGAGC